AUACGGAGGUUCCGAGCGUUAUCCGGAUUUAUUGGGUUUAAAGGGUGCGCAGGCGGGGGAUUAAGUCGGCGGUGAAAUUUUUCAGCUCAACUGGAAAAGGGCCUUCGAAACUGGUUUCCUUGAGUGUAGAUGAAGUUGGCGGAAUUUGUGGUGUAGCGGGGAAAUGCAUAGAUAUCACGAGGAACUCCGAUUGUGCAGGCAGCUUACUAAACUACUACUGACGCUCAGGCACGAAGGCGUGGGGAUCAAACAGGAUUAGAUACCCUGGUAGUCCACGCAGUAAACGAUGAUUACUAGCUGUUUGCGAUACAAUGUAAGCGGCUGAGCGAAAGCGUUAAGUAAUCCACCUGGGGAGUACGUUCGCAAGAAUGAAACUCAAAUGAAUUGACGGGG
rnacentral:rRNA from 1 species